CCUACGGGAGGCUGCAGUGAGGAAUAUUGGUCAAUGGGCGCGAGCCUGAACCAGCCAAGUCGCGUGAGGGAGGACGGCCCUACGGGUUGUAAACCUCUUUUGCCGGGGAGCAACGGGCGCCACGUGUGGCGUCACUGAGAGUACCCGGAGAAAAAGCAUCGGCUAACUCCGUGCCAGCAGCCGCGGUAAUCGGGAGGAUGCGAGCGUUAUCCGGAUUUAUUGGGUUUAAAGGGUGCGUAGGCGGAUCGUUAAGUCAGUGGUCAAAUUGAGGGGUGCAACCCGUUCCCGCCGUUGAAACUGGCGUUCUUGAGUGGAAGAGAAGUAUGCGGAAUGCGUGGUGUAGCGGUGAAAUGCAUAGAUAUCACGCAGAACCCCGAUUGCGAAGGCAGCAUGCGGGCUUCCGACUGACGCUGAAGCUCGAAGGCGUGGGGAUCGAACAGGAUUAGAUACCCGUGUAGUC
rnacentral:rRNA from 1 species